AGGAUAAACGCUGGCGGCGUGCCUAACACAUGCAAGUCGAACGUCCUACGCAAGUAGGGAGUGGCGGACGGGUGAGUAACACGUGGGCAAUCUACCUUUCGGUGAGGAAUACCGGCGAGAAAUCGCCGACAAUACCGCAUACGCUUCGCAAGAAGCAAAGUCGCAAGACGCCGGAGGAGGAGCCUGCGCCCGAUUAGCUCGUUGGUGGAGUAAUGGUCUACCAAGGCGACGAUCGGUAGCUGGUCUGAGAGGAUGAUCAGCCACACUGGGAUUGAGAACGGCCCAGACUCCUACGGGGGGCAGCAGUGAGGAAUCUUGCACAAUGGGCGAAAGCCUGAUGCAGCAACGCCGCGUGAGGGACGAAGGCUUUCUGAGUUGUAAACCUCUUUCAGCAGGGACGAUUGUGACGGUACCUGCAGAAGAACGCCCCGGCAACUCGUGCCAGCAGCCGC
rnacentral:rRNA from 1 species